rnacentral:rRNA from 1 species
AGUAAUGUAUGGGGAUCUGCCCGAUAGAGGGGGAUAACUACUGGAAACGGUGGCUAAUACCGCAUAAUGUCUACGGACCAAAGCAGGGGCUCUUCGGACCUUGCACUAUCGGAUGAACCCAUAUGGGAUUAGCUAGUAGGUGGGGUAAAGGCUCACCUAGGCGACGAUCUCUAACUGGUCUGAGAGGAUGAUCAGCCACACUGGGACUGAGACACGGCCCAG